AGCCCCUCUGAGGAAGUGACAUUUAAAUGGAAGUCUAAUUAAAUUACUCUAGGAAGAGGACACAGCAAGUACAAAUGUCAGAAGACCAGUACAGGUGUCACCGGACUAAAACUGGAGUAUCAGCAGGCAUUCCCUGCUGGAGGCUUAAGGGCAGAAUCCAUUUCCUUGCAUUUUCCAGCUUCUAGAGGCAUCUCCCUGGUCCUUGCAUACUGUCGCCAACAUUUCAGAACUGGCAAUAGGGCAGUACUUUCUGUCAGAAUGACCUCUUUCACCAUCUACCUCAAGUUGACAACUGAUGCAAGACAUCUACUUUCCCACAGAAAACAUAGAAAAGAACAGCCAAGGCUCUUUAUUAUCUUGUCCUCAAGCUCUCUCAGGUGUUGGAGAUAAUCAAGAUAAUCCAAAAAAAUGCUUUAUCGCAAGAAGGAUAUGUACCUGGAUCCAGUAGAGUAAGAUGUAAUUCUCAGAUUUCUAUUAAAACUAUUUGGGGAAGACCCAAACUCUCUUUCCAUUAAAAUUGC
rnacentral:lncRNA from 1 species